rnacentral:lncRNA from 10 species
GAGUUGCCGCCAACCGCCCUAACGGCCGAAACAAUGUUAAUGGCUUUCAGAGUCUGGCGGCGCGUUCCCAUUAUCAUCUUCCUGUGACCCUUCCUCAUUUUACACGGAGGAGGUGGUCUCCACAGUGAUUUUAAAUUUAAUAUUUCUCUCAUAACCUUUGUGAGAUAAAAGAAUCUUCAUCCUUUUAACUUUGACGAGGGAUGAAAUGAAGGUGAAAAGAGGAUUUAGUAAUAUGUAAAAUAAGGGUGGUUUUGCUGUAAAAAUAUGAUAGGGCCGCAAUUCAGAAAUGUUUUCAAGCAUCUGGGGCAUUGCUAUGGUUACAACUACAGGCCUACGAAGUCAGGUGCGAGAACUGCUUGGAGUCCUGGUGAGGACGGCCCCUCCUCGCCAUCCGGCCACAUCCCCUCUAAUGCCUGGAAAUGUCCAGCAUUUAUUUUGAAUAUAUCCCUACAGUUGCGAAAAAUUGUAGAUGGAAAACCACGUUUAAGAUUUUUUAUAAGUUUUUUUUUUUCAAAUCUUAAGGAUAAGAUUGCAUAAAUUUGAAAAGUGUGCCUACCGGAGAACACACCAAAAAUCAUCACUGCUCACUACGGAUAGUUGUUGCUCAGAAAUUCAUUUAGAAUUUCAUCCUCGCUUUAGCUUUUACCUGGGGUUCUUUUAAGUAUUUAUUUAGAGACGGGCGGGGCGGGGCUCGGUGUCUCAGGCCGGUAAUCCCAGAGCUUUGGGAGGCCGAGGCGGGAGGAUUGCAUGAGGCCAGGAGUUCCAGAUCAGCGUUGGUAACAUAGUGAGCCUCUGUCCCUACAAAAGUAUUUUUUAAAUUAUCUGGGUGUCGUGACACGCGCCUGUAGUCCCAGGUACUCGUGAGGCUAAGGUGGGAGGAGUGGUCGCACCACUGCACUCUGGCCUGGGUGACAGAUCUAGACCCUGACUCUUAAAAAAAAGAGACAAGGUCUCGCUCUGUUGACCAGGCUGGCCUCCAACUCC